CGGUUGCUUAGGUCUGAUGUGAAAGCCUUCGGCUUAACCGAAGAAGUGCAUCGGAAACCGGGCGACUUGAGUGCAGAAGAGGACAGUGGAACUCCAUGUGUAGCGGUGGAAUGCGUAGAUAUAUGGAAGAACACCAGUGGCGAAGGCGGCUGUCUGGUCUGCAACUGACGCUGAGGCUCGAAAGCAUGGGUAGCGAACAGGAUUAGAUACCCUGGUAGUCCAUGCCGUAAACGAUGAGUGCUAGGUGUUGGAGGGUUU
rnacentral:rRNA from 1 species